rnacentral:rRNA from 1 species
AUGGACCAUUCCAUCCCUUUUUCCCGUGCAUAUGCAUCGGACUCGGAUGACGAUGGUCCCGAUGAACAAGUUGAUGCGGAGGGGUUCACGGUGAAGGAGGCCGAAGCUUUCGAGAAGGUAUUCGGUCGGGAUCAUUGGACUACAUUGUUCAAGGAUGUUAGUCUCGCGGAUGAAGCCGUGGUAGAUGGUGGCCAAUGUGUAUCUCUUGGGGUUAGGCCAAGCUCUCAC